UCCAACACUGGAUGGGUGCUGUGAACUGGA
rnacentral:piRNA from 1 species